GCCUCGGUGGUGUAGUGGUAGACACGCGUCCCCUGAUGGGAAGAAACGCAGGUUCGGCUCCCGCUUGAGGCC